UACGGAGGGGGCGAGCGUUAUUCGGAAUUAUUGGGCGUAAAGGGCGCGUAGGCGGCUGGGGAAGUCAAAGGUGAAAUCCCUCGGCUCAACUGAGGAACUGCCUUUGAAACUGUCCAGCUCGAGGCCGGGAGGGGGUGGCGGAAUUCCCAGUGUAGCGGUGAAAUGCGUAGAUAUCUGGAGGAACACCGGUGGCGAAGGCGGCAUCCUGGACCAACACUGACACUGAUGAGCGAAAGCCAGGGGAGCAAACGGG
rnacentral:rRNA from 1 species